rnacentral:rRNA from 1 species
GCUUAACACAUGCAAGUCGAGGGGCAGCAGGAAGGUAGCUUGCUAUCUUCGCUGGCGACCGGCGCACGGGUGCGUAACACGUAUCGAACCUACCCCAUGCUCAGGGAUAGCCCUCUGAAAGGAGGAUUAACACCUGAUGGUUUCAAACGGCCGCAUGACUGUUUGAAUAAAGUUUUACGGCAUGGGAUGGCGAUGCGUCUGAUUAGCUUGUUGGCGGGGUAACGGCCCACCAAGGCAACGAUCAGUAGGGGUUCUGAGAGGAAGGUCCCCCACACUGGAACUGAGACACGGUCCAGACUCCUACGGGAGGCAGCAGUGAGGAAUAUUGGUCAAUGGUCGAGAGACUGAACCAGCCAAGUAGCGUGCAGGAGGACGGCCCUAUGGGUUGUAAACUGCUUUUAUACGGGAAUAAAGUGAGGCACGCGUGCCUUUUUGUAUGUACCGUAUGAAUAAGCAUCGGCUAAUUCCGUGCCAGCAGCCGCGGUAAUACGGAAGAUGCGGGCGUUAUCCGGAUUUAUUGGGUUUAAAGGGAGCGUAGGCGGGAUGUCAAGUCAGCGGUAAAAUGUCGGCGCCCAACGUCGGCCCGCCGUUGAAACUGGCGUUCUUGAAUGCGGUCAAGGGAGACGGAAUUCGCCAUGUAGCGGUGAAAUGCUUAGAUAUGGCGAAGAACUCCGAUUGCGAAGGCAGUCUCCUGGUCCGUGAUUGACGCUGAGGCUCGAAAGCGCGGGUAUCGAACAGGAUUAGAUACCCUGGUAGUCCGCGCUGUAAACGAUGGAUACUCGUUUUUGGCGAUAUAGUGUCAGAGACCAAGCGAAAGCGUUAAGUAUCCCACCUGGGGAGUACGCCGGCAACGGUGAAACUCAAAGGAAUUGACGGGGGCCCGCACAAGCGGAGGAACAUGUGGUUUAAUUCGAUGAUACGCGAGGAACCUUACCCGGAUUUGAUUGUGCCUGACGAGGAGCCGAGAAGCUCCGUCCCUUCGGGCAGGUAUGAGGUGCUGCAUGGUGUCGUCAGCUCGUGCGUGAGUGUCGCUAGUGCAUACGAGCGCACCCUUGCUGCAGUGCAUCGGUGAUGCGGCACUCUGGCGGACUGCCACCGCAGGUGUGAGGAAGGUGGGGAUGACGUCAAUCAGGACUCCUUACGUCGGCUCACACGUGUUUACAAUGGGGGCCACAGAGCUGCGGUGAGCGUUGGCAACUUGAAUCCUCAUUCGAACUGGAUCUGACGAUCACUGAUACUGAUCGCAUCACCGUGGCGUGCAUAGUC